AGAGUUGCCAUGGCGGGGGUAAUACCAUGAUCGUGAAGGUGGUUUUCCCAGGGCGAGGCUUAUUCAUUGCACCCCUGAUUUCCCCAGACGCAGGAAACUCUACUGCAUAAUUUGUGGUAAUGGGGGACUGAGUUCGAGCUUUCCCCUG
rnacentral:snRNA from 1 species